rnacentral:rRNA from 1 species
GACGAACGCUGGCGGCGUGCUUAACACAUGCAAGUCGAACGGAAAGGCCCUGCUUUUGUGGGGUGCUCGAGUGGCGAACGGGUGAGUAACACGUGAGUAACCUGCCCUUGACUUUGGGAUAACUUCAGGAAACUGGGGCUAAUACCGGAUAGGAGCUCCUGCUGCAUGGUGGGGGUUGGAAAGUUUCGGCGGUUGGGGAUGGACUCGCGGCUUAUCAGCUUGUUGGUGGGGUAGUGGCUUACCAAGGCUUUGACGGGUAGCCGGCCUGAGAGGGUGACCGGGCACAUUGGGACUGAGAUACGGCCCAGACUCCUACAGGAGGCAGCAGUGGGGAGUAUUGCACAAUGGGGGGGAGCCUGAUGCAGCGACGCCGCGUGCGGGAUGACGGCCUUCGGGGUGUAAACCGCUUUCGCCUGUGACGAAGCGUGAGUGACGGUAAUGGGUAAAGAAGCACCGGCUAACUACGUG